GACGAACGCUGGCGGCGUGCUUAACACAUGCAAGUCGAACGGAAAGGCCCUGCUUUUGUGGGGUGCUCGAGUGGCGAACGGGUGAGUAACACGUGAGUAACCUGCCCUUGACUUUGGGAUAACUUCAGGAAACUGGGGCUAAUACCGGAUAGGAGCCCCUGCUGCAUGGUGGGGGUUGGAAAGUUUCGGCGGUUUGGGAUGGACUCGCGGCUUAUCAGCUUGUUGGUGGGGUAGUGGCUUACCAAGGCUUUGGCGGGUAGCCGGCCUGAGAGGGUGACAGGACACAUUGGAACUGGGAUACGGCCCAGACUCGUACGGGAGGCAGCAGUGGGGAAUAUUGCACAAUGGGCGGAAGCCUGAUGCAGCCACGCCGCGUGCGGGAUGACGGCCUUCGGGUUGUAAACCGCUUUCGCCUGUGACGAAGCGUGAGUGACGGUAAUGGGUAAAGAAGCACCGGCUAACUACGUG
rnacentral:rRNA from 1 species